GCGAGGUUGCCGGAACUGGUAACGGCUCUCACUGCAAAUGAGAUGAUUAGGAGUUCGAGUCUCCUACCUUGCUCCA
rnacentral:tRNA from 1 species